UACGUAGGUGGCAAGCGUUGUCCGGAUUUACUGGGCGUAAAGAGCGCGCAGGCGGUUGGAUAAGUCGAACGUGAAAUCCCUGGGCUCAACCCAGGAACUGCGUCCGAUACUGGUUGGCUUGAAUCCGGGAGAGGGAUGUGGAAUUCCAGGUGUAGCGGUGAAAUGCGUAGAUAUCAGGAAGAACACCCGUGGCGAAAGCGGCUCUCUGGGACGGUACUGGACGCUGAGACGCGAAAGCGUCGGGAGCGAACAGG
rnacentral:rRNA from 1 species